GGAAAAUGUGGCCUCCUGGGACUGUCAGUGGUGUGGUCCCCACAUCCUUAGUUGUACACAUAACAUGCUUACCGUGUGCUUGCUUUGAGUCCCUUCUGAGCUCCCAUGCAAUGUAGACUCAUCGGAAUCCCGUGCUCAUGGGAUUUUAUGAACACUAUAUGCAAAUAGGACAGCAAGAAAUGGCAGUAAACGCUUUUAUUGUUGCUAUCUCCUCUGCUCCUGCACAUGCUCCAUGGUAUCGUUGGACUUCACUUACAAAACACAGAUACAAAGACAAAAUUACUAAGAAUUACCAAGAAUUUUAAUUUCAAGAUGGCAACAGAGUAUUAAACCAAAGAUGAAGUCGUUCUGAGUGUGGGGUUUGCGAGAUGGCACAGGUGGCACUCCCAGGAGCUCGUCUUGGCCAGGUCGCACCCUUGAGUCCAUUGGAACCUGAAUCUCACCCUGCUCUGCUAUGCUAUACUGACUCCAGCUGAAUUCAAGGAGUUACAGUUUGAAACUCUCCAGACUCCAGUGGCCAUCCCACUUGUGAUCACUUGCUCUGAGGGAGGACAUCUGCUGUAUCAUGAGGACGCAAAACCAUCCCAUGGAGGGUGCUACAUGCAGAGCAGCUGAGGCCUCCUGCUAGUUGUCAGUGAGGAACCGAGGCUUCUUGCCAAUGGCCAUUCAGGAAAAUCUUGCUUCUCAAACUCCUGUCUUGACCCCUUCCUGAACUUUGCCUCCUGGAUCUUGAGGUCUGCCUUCUGUGGAAGAGAAAUACUAGAAUCAAUGAACUGUGAACUAGAGCCCUGGGAUUAUCAACAGCCAGCUGAAAUUUUGAGAGCCACCUUAUAGAAAGCCUAACAGCAAAGACUGGAGAGAGGCUUCCAGCCAACAGCCAGCAAGGAAUUGAAGCCCUCAGUCCAAUAGCAGUGAGGAAUUGAAUCCUGCCAACAGCCUCGUGGAUGGGUUGCUUGCUGCCUGAAUCUAACUCCUGCUACUACUGCAAAUACCACUGCCAUGAAUAUCCUCAGCAAGACCCCCUUCCAGACCUGCAUGAACAACCGACUGCUUCAUGCUGGGCUUCAGACAUGAGAGGCUAGGAGUAGGAGGCAUGCCUUGUUCAAAGAUACCCAGUUCUCCCAGGACCAUUUGUUGAAAAGGCAGGCACCUCAUUUUACAGAAGAGGAAACUGAGGCCCAGAAAGAGAAGUGGCAUGCCCAAGGCUGUGCCAGAAGCAAAGUGUAAAAUAGAUCCUGAGCCUCCGACUCCUGUAACUCCUCCAGGGGACAGCAGCAUCUCUUCUGACUCUUUGCUUCCAUGUCUUGAGGAAGCAGCCUCCUGCCUAUGGCCAUCUGAGGAAGCCAUCUUGGAAGCAGACCCCUCAGCCCCAGUCAAGCCUUCAGAUGACUGAAGUCUCAGCUGACAUCUUGACUUUAAUUUAAAAAAAAAAAAAAAAAAAAAAAAACAAACAAACAAACAAAAAAAAACUCCAAGCCAGAACUACCCCCAACUGGAAUUUGAGAGCUGCUUUCAAAUCCUGACCCAUAGAAACUUAGAUAAUAAAUGUUUGUUGUUUUAAGCCACUCAUUUUUAGAGAAAUUUGUUAUGCAGCAAUAGCUAGCUAAUACAGAGAAUUAACCAGCCUCUCUUAAAUUACCACCACAAAAUCAACUACCUAUUUUAUUAAAAGGUAAAACCAGCUGCUGAAGAACGUUUUUCCUCUCAAGGCUUUGGCACUUAAGAUUCAACAGUAAGAAGGAUUGAAGAGUGAAGGCUUCCUGGCUACCCCGUGGCAUCCUGUGUUUGGUUUGAAGCGUGAUAAGCCUGGGUUGCUCUUCCAGUCCACCUUGUCUUAAAUGUGGGAAAUAGUCUACAGUUUGGAAGACACCAGAGAAAAAUGCUCCACAGCUCGCCCUGGUGACUCACUACAACUUAUGGGAAGAUGUGAGAUUAUUCUGUAUUCUAAUGUAUGUUAGAAGGCACACUCCACCCAAAGCCUUCCUGUGUGUUCCUCCCUGUGAGCUCACAUCCCGUUCACCAGCUGACUGGGAAGGGAAGUCAGGACCAGCCCUGACCCCAUCACACCAUCAUAACCUCGGGAUGGCAGGGCUGGAAGGCACCUCAGACGUCAUCCUUUGCAGACUCUUCAUUUUACAGUGAGAGGCAUGACGUGUCCACAGCUGGUUAGUGCCAAAGCCUGGGACAGGCUUCACAUUGUCCAGCUCUUAGUCAGAGCACUGUUGACAAUGUCUGCCUUCACUUGGAAUUCAGCACCUGCUUUCAGUAUAAACCCCUGCAUUUCACUAAAACUGAGCAGACUGCUGGUUUAAAAAAGAGAGGUCCAUCCAGCAGGGAUGAUGCUUUUCCUCGUUGAAAGAGGACAUUCACCUAAUGGGAGACCUGGAGUCAGAAUCUUUCUGAUGUGUGACUUGGCACAGUAACACAAUGCAGGAUGCUGGUGUGUUAAUAAAAAUAAAAAUUGCAUCGCCUACCUCAGAGUCGACAACAAUGUCAAGGAGUUAAUAGUCUUGGCAACACAGAGGCCACUGGACAGAGGCAUAACCUUGCGUGGCAGCUGCACGGGAAUUGGAUUUGGCUCAGGUGUUUCAGAUGACUAAGUUGGGAGCAUUUGACAAUUUUAGAUGUGGGAUGAAAAUUGCCUUAUCUAAGACAUAGGGCACCUGCAGAAGUAAAGAGAAACAGAACAAAGGGGACCACUCUUGGUAUAGAAGUUCAUCUCGUCGGGAGCAUCUGUGGUUCUUUUAUAAGCAAUGUACAUUCUACAAUAGAGGCAGACCCAGAAAUAAUUCAGAUAUUGGAGUUAGAAGAUCAGGAUUCUAAAAAAACCAAAAGAUCCUGCCUUACUAUGCACCUAUGGCCCUUCAAAGGCGAGAGUAGAAUCUGCUAUGAUUUAGAAGCAAGCAAUAAAAAGUACACAUCAGAAUUGGAGCCUGCACAGAUGUAGAAGGAGGCAUGAAGAGGGUAUUGGAGGAUUGCCCACUAUGCAGUCUGCAUCCUGAGUCUGUGGUGAGGCUGGACACGUUCAAGCUUACAGGAGAACUGGAGAAAGCAAGCAACACAGCGGUGGAAGUGAGACCACUGAAGCAGGGACAAGAGUGGAGGAGACAAACUGGACUCGGAACAAACUGGGAGCCUCUGCAUCCAUCCGUAACUGUCUGGCCGUGACAGUGGUUAGAGAGGAGUGGCUUCUGUGAAACUCUCACAAUCUCAAAUCUCCCACAAGUGCCUCUUUCAGCUAACUCUAAACUGGUACCAUAGAGGAAAUGGAUUCUGAAAACUUGGUCUCCAACCUUAGACAAAUUGAAUAAUUAAUAUGUCCUCUCCUGCUUCUUCUGUAACUGAAUUUGCAUUGGGAAGCAGGCCUGUCACUCUCAGACUUUGUGGUUUGAGUAGGGCUCACUUCAGCACCACCUUUUCCUCUUCUCAGCCCCACGGACUGGCAUGAGACUCAGGCCUGGCCAACUGAAUGUCACACACCUAUGACCAUCAGUUGGCUCAGAGAUGGACUCAGGACACCAUCACAGCCAAUGAAACCCUGUUAGGGAAAUUUGUCAGAACCAUACAAAGAAAUAGCUCCACUUUUCCAUAGAGAUGAGACAUAAGCCUGGACUAACUGGUGUCCAAUUUGCCAUCAAGAGAGCAUCUGAGAAGACAGAGGAAAACUGGGGAAAGCGAAGUCUAAGGAAGGUGAGUAAGGACAAGUCCAGUUGAUAUUACAUGAAUCACCUGGACCUGGAAAUCAAGGCAUUGCUGGAUUCAAGGCCAAGAAAAAUUGGAAGCUGGCUUGAAUCAGGUUCUAUCACUUGCAGUUGAAAAGGUCCAGACUAAUAUGAUAACAAAGGAGCAAGUAAGCAAGAUUCUGCCCUACAGUAAGUGCUCAAUGCAUGUCAGCUGGUAUUAUUAUUAUACAGACUUCUAUUUCUAGCCCUUUUAUUUCUACCACCUCUCUUCUGUGUUUUAUGUAAAGUGCAUAAGGAUUGUUCUGUUUGGAAACAUCAAACCAUAUAAAAUGACACCAGCAGGUCCCUUUCUGUCUGUCAGUGUCCACAAGCUCAACAACCAGGAUCAGCAGACAAAAACAGCUAAGCUGGAGUCAGUGUUUUUAUGAAGAAACAGGAAAAGAACUUACUUGGGAACUGUAGCUCAUCCUCCAAUAUUCUCCAUCCUAUCACUCUUUUCAUGACAGUUUCUUCUUGGCCCUGAAGUUGCCUUGUCAUGGCUCCCUGCCUCUGUCCUUUCUCUGUCUCACUUACAUCUUCCAAUGAGGAAUACAGCAAGACCUUUGGAUGAGGACCUCCAAAGGUCCUCAGUAUCCUUAGGACACUCGGUGCAGAACUAGAGGGACUGAGAGGAGGAGCUUUUGCAGGUUAAAUGACUAGUGAAUGGCCUUUCCUUAUAUUUCCAUUAGAAAUGGGAUUAGCUACACCUGAGAAGGAAUGACUUUGGAACAACUGAUCCCUAGCUUUCCAAAAUAUGAGAAAUUGAGAUGCAGGGAGUAGUAAGCACCUAGUUAAUGAGUCAAAGCAUAUUUAUAAAGUUCACAGGGUACAUAGCAUAUAGCAGCUGUUCUCUAUCUCAGUUGAGUUUUGACUAGGAAAUGGGCUUAGGAUAAAACACAUAGGCUUUUGAGUAAUCAUUUGUAAGAAAUUGUAGAUAGUGACCACAGUUUAAUAGCAUUAGAUAAAUUAUGAAAAGUCACUGAAAUACCUUCUCUGGAAAAUGUUAGAAGCUCAAGUACAAUGGCUUAGUUAAAGGCAGGUGGGGGAGAAACUUGAAGAAUGUGGUCCAGUACAAGAAUACCCCAUUUUUCCCCUAAGGCAAUGAAAAUGACAUGAAGUAAUCAUAGUUAUUUAUACAGGAACAAUUUAGGAGACUUAGAAUAUUCACUUCUUUUGCCUUCUAGCUGAGCAUCAAAAUUCUCUCUCUGUCUCUGCCUCUCUCUCUCUAUUUUCCACUUCUAGCUCCAACUAUUUUAAAUCCCUCCCCCAAUAGAACUCAUAACAAACAUAAAACAACAUUUGUUGUAUGUUUACAAUAGAUGUUCAAGCUAAUAUUUAUGUAGGCUUAGCCCUGGCAUUAAAUUAAGGUUUGGUUCACCAACAGGGUGCCUAGAGACUUCACCUCUAUUUCCAUGAGGGACUGAACAGCCUCUUGAGAAGGGACUCAUCAAAAUGGAAGAGUUGGCAAUAAGAAGUUUGGCUAAAUAACCAAGCACUGAAGUUGCAGAGGAGAAAGGAUUUGAAAGGCAGUACAGUGUCCAGGGGCAAGUUGGCAAUUUUUAGCAGGAGGUGAAGUGAUGCCAGCAGAGGUAACAGUGCUCAGAGGGACCAGUAGUCCCCAGGAGGAGCAGGGGAAUCCCCAGUGGAUCUGAUUUGUUCAAGAGCACAUGUGAGAUUAUCAGCUGGCGUUACAAUUUUGGAGUGGCAGUGAGAAGCAGUGAAUUUGAGGUCACUCAAUUUGCAGACCCCAAAGGGUGAAAUGUUGAGAAACAUGAGUUACACAUGUAUUUAACAGCUCUUGUGUAUUAUCACAAAUCCUAUUUCACCUCUCAUGCCCCCGAGGCUUUGGUGUCCAGUUCUCUGAAGACUUCAUCAAUCCUCAGCCAUAAAUCACCUGAGAGCAACUCACCUUGCUUCAUACUAUGAAGCUCCCUGAUGUCACAGCAUGGCAGGCCUGUGGCAACCCCUCAACACUUAUGCAUGAUCCCAAACAGCUAGAGGAUUAACACCUACGGUGUAACCCUUGACCAGCAGGAAAUGGAAAUUACUGUCUUUUUGUCCCCGCAGGUGAAUGGUUCUAAAAUGCAUUUUAUAAGCCUUCUGAAAUAGUCCCACAGGUCAAGCACCUACUUGCUCCAGUGGUGACCAACUCAAUGAUGCAUCCUUGGGUUGACUCUCCCUCCUUUCCAGUUCACUUUCCCCGCCCCUCACUCCUGCACCUCAGCAUCACAUUCCUGAAUAAACCACUCACACAUCUGUCUUAUUUCAGACUCUGUUUGGGGGAAUCCACAAUAAAAAUUUGUCAUUUUGAGUUAAACAUUGCUCUCACCUUGAAGACAUAUUUCCAUACCUAGAGAUUUCUGAAGUUCUCUCCCUUUUCCUAUCAUCUCCUUUGUGCUUUGUCUGACCUCCAUGUUACAGAGCCCCAUGAUAUUUAGAGCCAGUACUGCUAGGGAAGUAGUUCAGUUGUGUUUUAAAUGGUUCAGCAACUUGUAACAUCAACUGAGAACCAGAGGAAUACACUUGGAGGCCAAGAAAAAAAUGUUAGCUAAUAUGUACCAUACAGUAUGAUUCCUUGGGUAAGGGAAAGUAUAUGCAAGUGACAGAGGAAAAUUGAAAGUUGUAGCCCUUUUUUGGACUUUAGAUUUGGAAUUAAAGUUUCUCUUCUCUUGAAAGACCUUCUUUUUGUGGAUAAUGAUGAAUCUGAAGACCAGAACAGUGGGCCAAUUUGCCUUAGUUGAGAGUGGCAAAUAAAUGAAGAACUGAAGAACGUAUCUCUUUAACUAGUGCUCCUUUGUUGAGAAGAUACAAAACAAACAAUUGAAGGGUAUGGAUGAAGCCAUUGGCUUAUUCAUGUCUCUGUUGAUCAUAAUGAGAUUAAUAUAUAUAGGACAUUCACACAAAGAGGAUAUUGACUCGAUGGCUUACAGAUUAUUAGAGUUAGAAAUGUGACCUACUACUAAAGGAAGAAUGUUUCAGGUGUGGAUCUCUGAUUUAAAAAAUACACCACACUUGCCUCAGUGAAGCAAGUCAACUUAGGUGCUGAUACAAUGCCACUGCAGCUGUGCUGAGUUCAUGAAAUCAGAUCCCACUCUCUUCACCUACCCCUACCGUAUUCAUCCUACUUUCCGUCUGCUCUGCCCUUCCCAUUUGGUAACCUAGUCAUGAAACACCUGGCUCUGGGUCCUUCCUUCAGCAUCACUCCACGUUGUACUGCUGGCAUCGCUUUUCUUGGCACAGAACCUCUUAGGGCUGCUAUCCUAGGAGUAGGUGCUACUCAGGCUGGCUUAGUCCCAGGCUUCACUCACUUCUUGGCCCAUGGCCAGGAGGACCGGAAAGAACAAACUCUCUGCACAUCUCUGCAGGUGGCCACAGAGCCCCCAUCUGAGCCUUGCUGAUGGAGAAGAGCAUGCUGCAUCACAAGAUAACUGUGUGGCUCUGUUCAAAAACCUUGUUUAGAAGUUAUUAUUUCUUUUAUUGCAUUAGAAUUUGCCUCACUGUAGCUUUUGUGCUUCUGUCCUGGUUCAGCCUUAGAUAGCAGUGCAGCCUGGUCCAUGUGAAAGCUCUUGCAAUAGGCCUUUCUGCUAGUCAGGAGUUCUCAGACCCAUCCCUACUCUUCACUUUUCUCAAGACUAAUAUCAGACUCCUGGGCUCUUCAAGGUUUCCUCAUAUGAUAAAAGUUCUAAGCCCUCCAUUGUCCUAGUCACUGUCCUCUCUGUUCCAUCCCUGUCUGCCCUUCCAAGAUGCUGCACCUGGAGAUGAAUUUGUCCUUCCUGGGGCAAGUCACCAUGAGAUGAUUACUUUUGGAUCAUACUGAAUUUGUGGGUUAAAUAAACUCAUAGGUCUUUAUCUCAUGCACUAAAUCCAAAUUCGAUCUCUUGCCGUAAAUCAUUUUUUUGAAUAGCUGAACAAUAAGUAAAUAAUACACAAAUGAAAACUAAUCAAUAUUUGAACAUCCUCAGUAUUUUCAGCCCUAGUUUGAGCCAGACAUAGCUCAUCUUGUAUACUUCACUAAGGACACUUUAUACGAUCAAGCAAUUAAUAUUAUGAUGUCAUGUCUCGCAAGCCCCAUAGUGUCACUUCCAGUCUCUUCACCACAAAGAACGUUGAAGCCUUCGUAUUUUUUUGAAAAUCAUAUUUCUAGCUGCAGGAUGGGAUGUAAGAAAAGUUCAGAUUAGGAUUAUUCUAGGCUCCUGACUAUAACUAAAAUCCUGAUUUUUUAUGGAAAGGAAUGAGGAUCAUUCCUUCAAAUUAGAUUUUUGUGAUAAAAAGAAAAAAGUUGGUAAUCUAUUCAAAAUUGUAACAAAAAUAACUGCAUUUUUCUUUGGAAAAUAAUAGUUGAUUCCUUUUUGCUUUUUUUACUUAUGAAUUGGGGUGCAAUAGAGUUUAAUAAAAAUGAUGUGAAACACUCUUAUAAGGCUAAUUUAUCACAUUUGCUUCAAGGAAUUGUCCUUUCUAACAAAAUUGUGAAAUGGAACUGAACAGUAGCAUGAUGAGGCCUCUACCAGGAGGAGGUACAGAACAAGGCAGGAGGUCAGUGGUUAAAGGACUCCUUGCUUAUGCUCAAGAAAUGUGGACCUUAUUAGAGGUGACACAGUGAAAUCAGUCACCUGAUUUCGCAGGUGACUGUGGAGCAAGAAUGCAAAUCCACAAUAUUAGGAUGAAUGUGAGAGGAGAAGGGAAGGAGGCCAUGAGGGAAAAAAGGACAUCUAAUUGGGUCUGAAAGGAAGGGUAGAAUUUAAGUAAAGAGCACUGUGUACAUAUGGGAAUACCAUGUACUUUCUCAUGGAGAGAGGCCUUCUGACAGUCCUGCAUUGAUCCUGCUUCUUUGACCAUCCCUUGUUAGCCAGCAGGUCAUUUGGCCUCACUAGUUGCCUCAGUGCUGAGUGAUAGACUCAGCAGUCCCCAGCCUCUUUGGCACCAGGGACUGGUUUUGUGGAAGAUAAUUUUUCCAUGGAUCAGGGAGAGGAUGGUUUCAGGAGGAUUUAAGUGCAUUACAUUUACUGCGCACUUUAUUUCUAAUAUUAUUACAUUGUAAUCUAUAAUGAAAUAAUUAUACAAUUCACCAUAAUGUAGAAUCAGUGGGUGCCCUGAGCUUGUUUUCCUGCAACUAGAUGGUCCCAUCUGGGGGUGAUGGGAGACAGUGACAGAUCAUCAGGCAUUAGAUUCUCAUAAGGAAUGCACAACCUAGAUUCUUCACAUGUGCAGUUCACCAUGAGGUUCACGCUCCUAUGAGAAGCUAAUGCCUCCGCUUAAACGACACAGGAGAUGGAGCUCAGGUAGUAAUGAGUGAAAUGGGGAGCAGCUGUCAAUACAGAUGAAGCUUUGCUUGCUUGCUUGCCGCUCACCACCUGCUGUGCAGCCUGGUUCCUAACUGGUACUGGUCAGUGGCCUGUGGUUGGGAACUCCUGGUAGACUAACAACAGAACAAAGCCAAGUCUCAAGGAGAGACAGUUGUAUAGAUGCCUUCCUGCCCAUUCUCUGUUGUGGGGGCCAAAUCACACAAGACCUGCAUUUAAUUCUUUAUGGGCUUAGGCUGUGAAUUAAUGUAAAAUCUCAAGAAACCAAGAUGACAGGCCAGGGACUAAAGAGCAAAAGAAAGACCACAGCUAUGGUGGGCGAGGAGACAAAGUCAAUCCCACCGGGACAGAUGGUGAUGACCCUUAUCAGUUCUAUUCUGUCAUCUCAUAAAGGUAAAGACUUGUGUUCUUUUUCUUAGGACAGUCCAGAUGGUAUUGGCUGUGCUUAAAGAAAAUUCAGACAUGUGUGAGUGUGGCUGGAAUUGACAUUCAUGAGGUCUUCCGUUUUUAUUUGAAAGGGGCAGAGUAAGUAUUUGUGAACAUUGGAUGGUGAUGAAGAAAAGGAAAUGGUGUCUAGUAUCCUACCUGGCCUCAUGGACCAAGACUAGAAGGAUUAGAGGCAAAGUCGAAGGAAGCUGCCACCAUAAAGGGUUCUGUGAAUGCUGUUUGGCUGAAAUGUGUGACAAAGCACUGGGAAGGGUUUCAUUGCAUUAGCUCAGGCCAUAGCACGACCCUUAACCAACACCUUAAGGUGAUGGUCCCCUUGGCAUAAAUAUUGGUGUUAAAAUCGAGGUUAACCUUAGUGAUAGUAUGGUUAAGAGUCCCCUGCAUGACUUUGGAAGUUGAAGAUGCUGAUCAGGAGAACUAGAGCAGGAAAGAGAAAAUAUGACUGAGGCUAAGUGGUGACUUGGUAUUGACUGAUAGGUGAACACAGGAAUGAAUUUCAGCGAGAACCCCCAGUAACUGUCUGGGGAGUGGAGACUGUGUAUGAACAGGACAGAAAAAAAAGCAGAUUCGGGUAGUGUCCUGUCGUGUGUCUCUUUUACAGUCCUGAAAUGAAGGACUUUCAGUGUUUUCAUUGAGCACCAAUCAAUUCCCUCUUUACAAAAGACCAUAUUGGAACAGCAUCAAGGUUUAGGGAUAUUAAAGCAAUACAGUGACACUGGAAUGACCACUGAGAACCAGCGAACUUCUUCAGCCCUUAUAUCCUCAGGCACUCUGGAAGCCAUGAAUCUGGUUUUCUUGCUAAACUGUGUGUACUGCACAGAGUACAAUGGUAAAGGAACAAAUAUUGGCUCUAAAAUCUCUUGUAAAGGGAAGGGUGGUCAUCCCUUUAGAUGGCAAAUUGAGUUUCUGUAAUGGGGUUUGCUCUGAUGUUGCAUUUCCACUCAGGCAUCAAGACAUUCUGUUGUUUAAAGCCCUAGAUGGGUGAUAUUUCUUUCAUGUGCAAGGCCCGAAUGCUUCACUGAGCUCUCUCUUACCCACACACACUCAUUUAAACCUUGGUCAAAAUUAUCCUUUAGCAUCUGCAUCUUCUCAGAAGGCGGAAGGGUCAAUGGGGAUAAUCAGGAGAGAUGAGGUGCACUUUCAGAAGUUGGAGCUGAGAAGGUGAUGGAAGUAUCUGUAAAGUCGUUGAACAGCUGCACGAACUAUAGGGGAAGCAUUUCUGGAGGCAAAAGGGGAAUAGCCCUUUCCUCUUAAACCAAAGCGAGCACAGCUCCAAAGGCACUUAGAUGGAGAGUUCAUCGGAAUGUGAGCUCUAAGAGUGGCUGAGAAUCUGACAAAAACAGCCAUCUGCCAACCCAAAAUUAAAACUCCUCUGUUUAGCACCCAGUAGAGAAAGUCAACCAGAUUGACUUCGCAAACAAAGGACCUUAAAAGCAUCACCUAAGAAAGUGUGUCAGGAUCCACAGACAUCCAGAGCAUUCUCUAUGGUUCAUUACUUACAUUAUUCUUAUCUAUUUACACAUAAUGUUUAGAUGUAAAAUCCUUACAAUGAAAAGGGUGUAUAUGCUUUAAAAAAGGCACAACAGGGAUCUAGAACUAGAAAUACCAUUUGACCCAGCCAUCCCAUUACUGGGUAUAUACCCAAAUGAGUAUAAAUCAUGCUGCUAUAAAG
rnacentral:lncRNA from 1 species